AUCUUUAGCUGGUCUGAGAGACGAUCAGCCACAUUGGGACUGAGACACGGCCCAGACUCCUACGGGAGGCAGCAGUGGGGAAUAUUGGACAAUGGGCGCAAGCCUGAUCCAGCCAUACCGCGUGUGUGAAGAAGGCCUUCGGGUUGUAAAGCACUUUAAGCAGGGAGAAAAAGCAAUAAGUUAAUACCUUAUUGCCGUGAUGUUACCUGCAGAAUAAGCACCGGC
rnacentral:rRNA from 1 species